CCUUCUCACUAACUCUUCUCUAUAUCCACACAAACAUAGUUCUUAUCUAUAUUAGUUCGGGGGUAUGGAUAUCUCCUUGCAAUGAGCAGUGGAGUUUUGUGGUUGACAAGGAAAGGCAUGAUCGAUUGGUAACAUUAGGGAUUAAUACUCUGUUGAAGCAGCUGAAGAUUACUGAAGGUCUUGAGUCUGUUGGAACAGCGCCAUAGGGUGCUUGGCAACCAUCAUUGAACAUCUCUACAGUGUUGACGAGUAUCGGGUUGUUGCUUAGUGAACCUAAUCCGGAUGAUGACUUGAUGUGUGAAGUUAGCAGGGAGGACAAAUACAAUAGCCAAGCUUUCGAUUAUAAGGCAUGAGAGAUGACCCAGAAGUAUGCUGUAAAGGUUAACGCUGGUGAUGGAAGCAGCACCAGCCUCCAAAUUCAGGAAACACCAAACGCAGGCGAGGUUAAGAGUCAUGGAGAUGAGAAGGUUUCUGAAAGUGGAAU